rnacentral:rRNA from 1 species
AUACGUAGGGGGCGAGCGUUAUCCGGAAUUAUUGGGCGUAAAGCGUACGUAGGUGGUCUUGUAAGCGUGAGGUGAAAGCCUGCAGCUUAACUGCAGCGAGCCUCAUGAACUGCAAGACUUGAGUGCAGGAGGGGUAAGUGGAACUCCAUGUGUAGCGGUGAAAUGCGUAGAUAUAUGGAAGAACACCGGUGGCGAAGGCGACUUACUGGACUGUAACUGACACUGAGGUACGAAAGCGUGGGGAGCAAACAGGAUUAGAUACCCUGGUAGUCCACGCUGUAAACGAUGAGCACUAGGUGUCUGGGUAGAAAUACUUAGGUGCCGCAGUUAACGCAUUAAGUGCUCCGCCUGGGGAGUACGCACGCAAGUGUGAAACUCAAAUGAAUUGACGGGG